rnacentral:rRNA from 1 species
GAUGAACGCUGGCGGCGUGCUUAACACAUGCAAGUCGAACGAGAAGUGAAGACGGAAACCUUCGGGCGGAAGGCUUUAUUUCGAGUGGCGGCCGGGUGAGUAACGCGUGGGUAACCUGCCUCAUACAGGGGGAUAACAGUUUGAAACGACUGUUAAUACCGCAUAAGACCACAGCACCGCAUGGUGCGGGGGUAAAAACUCCGGUGGUAUGAGAUGGACCCGCGUUCGAUUAGCCAGUUGGCGGGGUAACGGCCCACCAAAGCGACGAUCGAUAGCCGAUCUGAGAGGAUGACCGGCCACAGUGGGACUGAGACACGGCCCAAACUCCUACGGGAGGCAGCAGUGGGGAAUAUUGCACAAUGGGGGAAACCCUGAUGCAGCGACGCCGCGUGAGUGAAGAAGUAUUUCGGUAUGUAAAGCUCUAUCAGCAGGGAAGAAAAUGACGGUACCUGAGUAAGAAGCCCCGGCUAACUACGUG